GGGGUUGUGGCUCAGCGGUAGAGUACUCUUCUAGCACAUGCGAGGCGCUGGGUUCAAUCGUCAGCACCA
rnacentral:tRNA from 1 species